GCAUUUACCUGGAGGCUUCGUGCGCCCGCUUGCCGCUUAGCCUAGUCAUUAUUAGAUGCAAAAUUAAAAUGCCUGGAUUGGACAUUAUUUGCACACUGAAUCCAACAAAAACAGUGUGCAGAUUUUAUAUGAUUCAUGCAACAA
rnacentral:snoRNA from 1 species